rnacentral:tRNA from 2 species
GCGCCUGUAGCUCAGUUGGAUAGAGUAUCUGGCUUCGAACCAGAGGGUCGGGAGUUCGAGUCUUCCCGGGCGCACCA